rnacentral:lncRNA from 1 species
ACACGAUAAACCCUCGUGUGUUCUCUGAGUUUUUGAUACAGCCCUUCAAAAGUAAGAUUUCCCCUAAUUCUUCUUGAUUAUUACUAUGCAAUAGAAAUUUCAAUUUUUUAUGAGAUUGGAUUUGUUCUAUUUAGUGGUUUUUCAGUGACUAUUUUCGGUUUUAUUAGUGGUGAUUAAUCUUUAUGCUUAUAUUUUUUUUAUAUGAAAUGAGUCUGUUAAUAUCUGAGGAAGAAAGAAAUAAAGCAAAAUUAAAAUAUUUUGGUACAUACGUGAAACUUUUAUGAGCGAAAGAUAUGCCUUUUUUUUUUUUUUUACUGCCUUGUAACAUUGAAAUUUGAAUAUAAAACAAAUUAAAAUAUUCUGGUACAUAUAUUUGAAACUUUUAUGAGCGAAAGAUAUGCUUUUUUUACUGCCUUGUAAUAUGGAAAUUUGAAAAUAAGGGUAGAUUUUCUAUUUACGUGUUUGUGCGUGUACGGGGUAUUGUGCAAGAAAUAAGUAUUUGUACUUGAAAUGCAAGUAGAUGAAAUUGCCUUUUUUUUUUUCCCCUUUUUUAACAAAAUUAAAAUAAAAGAAUGCUCUUUCGAGGAAUUAUAUGUCAAUAAGGUGAAAAUAAAUCUUGUAUAAAUGUUCUUCAGUAAGAUUUGAGUCUGGUUGUUAAUGUAAAUCAUCGUGCUUUCUUGCUUUAUUCCUAAUGUUCAUGGUAGUUGAUUCUUUUAAUAGGACAGAACUGACAUUGUUUUUGGCCCUGAGAAUUCUGAAUCUAAAGCAGGUUCACAGAGGCUUUCUGCAUAUUGAAUUUCAUAGACAAUGUUAAUAUCUGUCCCAUGUUUUAGGUCAGAGCAAUGGCCUUCUUUAGAAAAGCUGGUAAUAUACUAAGUCGAACUGUGAGUAAUCACGUCAGUCAGGAAAUCUCAACAUCCCAACCCUCUAUCUUUCAAGCAAUAAGAUGCAUGUCAACCUCAAAACUCUUUAUUGGAGGUAUAAUACUCUGUUUGUUUUUCUUUUUAAAAAUAUAGUUGAGUAUAUAUAUUUUUUGGAUAUCAGAUUAGUAUCAACAUUCCAUGAUCUUGUGGUUUUUACAGGACUCUCAUACAGCACAGAUGACUCAGGUCUGAGAGAGGCUUUCAGUAAAUAUGGAGAAGUUGCCGACGGUACUUUAACUGUACCCAGCUUGUUAUUGAUGAUCAUGUGAUAGUUUGACAUAAUUUGUGCCAUUCAUGUCACGGGUUAUUGAAGAAAAUUAAUUAAAAGAAUAAUUGAACCCACUUAAAGUUUCAUUUUGUGUACUUGCUUGUCUUUUGGAUGGAUUAUUGAUUGAAAUGUAAGCACUGUAUAAUUGUUGAGCAAAGUUAAAGAGUUCUUAUAAAGGUUUAUUGUUGAGAUUUAUAGUUAAAUUGUGCUUUUUGCUAGUUUGUAGUCUUGAAUAUUUG